rnacentral:rRNA from 1 species
GAUGAACGCUGGCGGCGUGCCUAAUACAUGCAAGUCGAGCGAACAGACGAGGAGCUUGCUCCUCUGACGUUAGCGGCGGACGGGUGAGUAACACGUGGAUAACCUACCUAUAAGACUGGGAUAACUUCGGGAAACCGGAGCUAAUACCGGAUAAUAUAUUGAACCGCAUGGUUCAAUAGUGAAAGACGGUUUUGCUGUCACUUAUAGCUGGAUCCGCGCCGCAUUAGCUAGUUGGUAAGGUAACGGCUUACCAAGGCAACGAUGCGUAGCCGACCUGAGAGGGUGAUCGGCCACACUGGAACUGAGACACGGUCCAGACUCCGACGGGAGGCAGCAGUAGGGAAUCUUCCGCAAUGGGCGAAAGCCUGACGGAGCAACGCCGCGUGAGUGAUGAAGGUCUUCGGAUCGUAAAACUCUGUUAUUAGGGAAGAACAAAUGUGUAAGUAACUAUGCACGUCUUGACGGUACCGAAUCAGAAAGCCACGGCCAACUACGUG